UGACCCUACGGGGGGCAGCAGUGAGGAAUAUUGGUCAAUGGGCGGGAGCCUGAACCAGCCAAGUCGCGUGAGGGAAUAAGGCCCUACGGGUCGUAAACCUCUUUUGCCGGGGAGCAAGGGCGGGGACGCGUCCCGGCCCGGAGAGUACCCGGAGAAAAAGCAUCGGCUAACUCCGUGCCAGCAGCCGCGGUAAUACGGAGGAUGCGAGCGUUAUCCGGUUUUAUUGGGUUUAAAGGGUGCGCAGGCGGAUUUUUAAGUCAGCGGUCAAAUCGUGGGGCUCAACCCCA
rnacentral:rRNA from 1 species